AUUGAACGCUGGCGGCAGGCUUAACACAUGCAAGUCGAGCGGUAACAGAGAGAAGCUUGCUUCUCUGCUGACGAGCGGCGGACGGGUGAGUAAUGCCUAGGAAUCUGCCUAGUAGUGGGGGAUAACUUGCCGAAAGGUAAGCUAAUACCGCAUACGUCCUACGGGAGAAAGGAGGGGACCUUCGGGCCUUUCGCUAUUAGAUGAGCCUAGGUCGGAUUAGUUAGUUGGUGAGGUAAUGGCUCACCAAGACCGCGAUCCGUAACUGGUCUGAGAGGAUGAUCAGUCACACUGGAACUGAGACACGGUCCAGACUCCUACGGGAGGCAGCAGUGGGGAAUAUUGGACAAUGGGGGGAACCCUGAUCCAGCCAUGCCGCGUGUGUGAAGAAGGUCUUAGGAUUGUAAAGCACUUUAAGUUGGGAGGAAGAGCAGUUAACUAAUAUUUGACUGUUUUGACGUUACCGACAGAAUAAGCACCGGCUAACUUCGUGCCAGCAG
rnacentral:rRNA from 1 species